UUAUUUGAUCACGUGAUUAGAGGUCAAAGUAUCAAGCUGAUGCUCGGAUGUCUGUAUGUUGACUAAUUUUAUUUCCUGUAAAAGUGCAAGUUUUCUUGCAGCAUUGUACAGUUUGUUACUCGAUUGUAGGAAGAUCCCAGGUUCAGACAACGAGGCUGAGGAUAAAAGGGCAAGAAGGCAGCCAAGGCAGCGGCUCAGCCCACGUCUCACCCACAAGUCAGCGCUGAUUGGCCGGCUGUCGUCACAUGACAGGAAGCAAUUACUUUGAGGCUUUAGGGAUCUAUAAGCCAUGGCGGGAGUCAUCAACAAGCUGCGGAACAAGAACAAGCCUGCCAUCACCCAGCAGGCUCCGGGCUGGACCAGCUCCGGCAGCUUCAUCAACAAACCCACCCGAGGAUGGCUGCACAACGACGACACGCUCAAGGACGGCGGCGUGUGUUACGGUGUCAAGGUAGGACAGACUCUCACUUU